rnacentral:rRNA from 1 species
GAUGAACGCUGGCGGCGUGCCUAAUACAUGCAAGUCGAGCGAACAGACGAGGAGCUUUCUCCUCUGACGUUAGCGGCGGACGGGUGGGUAACACGUGGAUAACCUACCUCUAAGACUGGGAUAACUUCGGGAAACCGGAGCUGAUACCGCCUAAUAUAUUCAACCGCAUGGUUCAAUAGUGAAAGGCGGUUUUGCUGUCACUUAUAGAUGAUUCCGCGCCGGAUUAGCUAGUUGGUAAGGUAACGGCUCACCAAGGCAACGAUGCGUAGCCGACCUGAGAGGGUGAUCGGCCACACUGGAACUGAGACACGGUCCAGACUCCUACGGGAGGCAGCAGUAGGGAAUCUUCCGCAAUGGGCGAAAGCCUGACGGAGCAACGCCGCGUGAGUGAUGAAGGUCUUCGGAUCGUAAAACUCUGUUAUUAGGGAAGAACAAAUGUGUAAGUAACUAUGCACGUCUUGACGGUACCUAAUCAGAAAGCCACGGCUAACUACGUG